rnacentral:rRNA from 1 species
CGAGAAAGCCCGCAAGGGUGAGUAAAGCGGCGCACGGGUGCGUAACACGUGGGUAAUCUGCCCUAGAGUCCGGAAUAACUCGCCGAAAGGCGUGCUAAUGCCGGAUGAGACCACGGGAGCUUCGGCUCCUGCGGGAAAAGGUGGCCUCUGUAUACAAGCUAUCGCUCUAGGAUGAGCCCGCGGCCCAUCAGCUAGUUGGCGGGGUAAUGGCCCACCAAGGCUACGACGGGUAGCUGGUCUGAGAGGACGAUCAGCCACACUGGAACUGAGACACGGUCCAGACCCCUACGGGAGGCAGCAGUGGGGAAUCUUGCGCAAUGGGCGAAAGCCUGACGCAGCAACGCCGCGUGUGUGAUGAAGGUCUUCGGAUCGUAAAGCACUGUCGCGAGGGACG